AUAGCAUGGUAGGGGCAUUUCUUAAUCAAUUCUUUUAAUCUCUCCUAAGUCUCGUGAAACAUCUCCCCAUCCAACAGAAAAAAAUCAGUUAUGACCUUUCUGAUUU